CCUCCGUAGGUGAACCUGCGGAGGGAUCAUUA
rnacentral:rRNA from 3 species